CCCAGCAGCCAAAGGCAUCCUGUAUAAACUGACUGGCUCAGUCUGCAAACAUACUCAGAUAACAAUCAGUCAGGUGAACCAGUGUGGCAAGGAACAUUCUCUUCUGACGCCAUGUAAUCAGACUCAGCGCAUCCCUGUAGUUACAAGGCAUUUCUUUUCUUUUUUUUGUUAUAAAGAAGUGCCAAAUCACUGUAAUGUAAAAAAAGGACUAAUACAGCUCCUAUCUUAUUUAUUUAUUUGCUCCUAAGAAGGAGGUGCAGAUCCCAUAAAAUGAUAAAACUAACAGAAAAAGACUCAGAAGAGCUCCAUGUAAAACAACUCACACUGGCGAUCACCUUUUUAGAUCUUUUAAAAAAAAAAAUUCUGUUCUUGUUAGCUCUUUGUGUGCAUAACAUGUUUCCUAUAGUUUUCUGUGAAAUGGACUGGAUGUCUCAUCUGAACACCACCUAAGUCAAGUUUCAUCCUUACCACACCCAAGCCAACAGUAAUCCCAGCCCCCUCCACAACAGUACAAUGUCCUCUGAAGCAGACAAACCAAUAAACACCAAUUUAACAACCAUCCACUGACCUGAAUAAUACUACGACUAUUGACUUUACUACUACUUCUUCUACUAAUAAUUCUAGCAUCAUCCACUGAGCACAAGUCUUUUGUCAAACAGCUCAAGUGGUGUUAAAAAAACAAACAAAAAAAAAACAAAACACUAAGAUAGGAGGCUGAUCCAAGCACUCAAGAAGAGAAGUUUAAUGAGGAGGAAAUGAAUCAAGAUCACAUCUGUUAGAAAGGAGGGAGCUUAACUCUAGACAUGACAGUGAAUGAAGAAAGUAAAAUAAUGCUAUAACAUAAAUGAGGACGCAAGACGCAGUAAGGGGGAAACUACAGUGGCCCUAAGAGGCCAAACGGACUGCAACUUAAGAAAACACCAGCAAUAAGAAAAAUGCUGCAAAAGCACACAUAAUACAACGGAAAUAGGAAAAACGAAAACAGAAAUAGGAAAAAGCCUUUUACUUUACCGUAACCCUUUGAUGAUGGAGUUAGGCUUCAGGAUCCUGUGUAUGAAAUUAAAUCACGCUGAAGCCUCCACCUUAGAUAUAAGUACCAGUUUAGCUCACUGGUUAAAGCAGGUGAUCCAUAUGACAUAAGGUUAAUGUAGAGGCCUGGAUUUGAAUUGCUGCAAUGCAUGACUUUCUCUCAGCUUGUCCUUACCUCCUGUCAUCUAAAGCUGUGUGUCUGGUAGAAAUUAGGAACUAAAUGGAAAAAAUGGAAGAUAGAAACAAAAUUU
ensembl:lncRNA